AAGAAAGUGACAGAGUGGCUAUGUGGUUGGCUUGAAACUAACUUAUGGGGGUUCAACUCCUUCCUUUCUCG
rnacentral:tRNA from 1 species